UGCGGAGUGGUGUAAAGGUAACACAUCAGACUCAUGAUCUGAAAAUUGGGGUUCAAAUCCUUGCUCCGCAC